rnacentral:misc_RNA from 1 species
GGAUGAAACUGCUGCUGAUGGAGCCUCAAAGAAAAAGGCGGAUUCUGAUUCUGAGGAGGAAGAAGAGGAUGCACAGCAAAAGGAGAAGGGAGUCUCGAACAAAAAGAAAAAACUUCAGCGUAGGAUGAAAAUUGCAGAACUGAAACAAAUCUCUAUGAAGCCUGAUGUUGUUGAGGUAUGGGAUGCCACUGCAGCAGACCCUAAGCUCCUGGUAUUUCUGAAAUCUUACCGGAAUACUGUUCCUGUUCCAAGACACUGGUGUCAGAAACGGAAAUUUUUGCAGGGGAAGCGUGGGAUUGAGAAACAGCCAUUUCAACUUCCUGACUUUAUAGCUGCGACAGGAAUUGAGAAAAUUAGACAAGCUUACAUUGAAAAGGAGGACAGUAAGAAGCUUAAACAAAAGCAGCGGGAAAGGAUGCAGCCAAAAAUGGGGAAGAUGGAUAUCGAUUAUCAGGUUCUACAUGACGCCUUUUUUAAGUAUCAAACUAAACCAAAGUUGACAUCCCUUGGUGAUCUGUAUUAUGAAGGAAAAGAGUUUGAGGUCAAGUUGAGGGAAAUGAAACCUGGAACUUUGUCUCAUGAACUGAAAGAGGCCCUUGGUAUGCCUGAAGGUGCUCCUCCUCCAUGGCUCAUCAAUAUGCAGAGAUAUGGUCCUCCACCCUCUUAUCCUCAGCUGAAGAUUCCUGGACUGAAUGCUCCUAUUCCACAUGGAGCCAAGUUCGGUUAUCAGCCGGGAGGUUGGGGUAAACCACCUGUUGAUGAAUAUGGGCGCCCUUUAUACGGAGAUGUCUUUGGUGUAUUGCAACAAGAUCAGCCUAAUUAUGAGGAUGAACCUGUUGAUAAGACUAAACAUUGGGGUGACUUGGAGGAAGAG